AACGAACGCUGGCGGCAUGCCUAACACAUGCAAGUCGAACGAGACCUUCGGGUCUAGUGGCGCACGGGUGCGUAACGCGUGGGAACCUGCCCUUAGGUUCGGAAUAACUCCCCGAAAGGGGUGCUAAUACCGGAUAAUGUCUUCGGACCAAAGAUUUAUCGCCUUUGGAUGGGCCCGCGUUGGAUUAGCUAGUUGGUAGGGUAAAAGCCUACCAAGGCGACGAUCCAUAGCUGGUCUGAGAGGAUGAUCAGCCACACUGGGACUGAGACACGGCCCAGACUCCUACGGGAGGCAGCAGUGGGGAAUAUUGGACAAUGGGCGAAAGCCUGAUCCAUCAAUGCCGCGUGAGUGAUGAAGGCCUUAGGGUUGGAAAGCGCUUUUACCCGGGAUGAUAAUGACAGUACCGGGAGAAUAAGCUCCGGCUAACUCCGUG
rnacentral:rRNA from 1 species